UACGGAGGGUGCAAGCGUUAUCCGGAUUCACUGGGUUUAAAGGGUGCGUAGGCGGCCUAUUAAGUCAGUGCUGAAAUAUCCCGGCUUAACCGGGAGGGUGGCAUUGAUACUGAUGGGCUUGAGUAGAGUUGAGGUUGGCGGAAUUGACGGUGUAGCGGUGAAAUGCUUAGAUAUCGUCAAGAACACCUAUUGCGAAGGCAGCUAACUAAGCUCAAACUGACGCUGAGGCACGAAGGCGUGGGGAGCGAACGGG
rnacentral:rRNA from 1 species